ACUUCGGUGGGGAUUAGUGGCGAACGGGUGAGUAACACGUGGGCAAUCUGCCCUGCACUCUGGGACAAGCCCUGGAAACGGGGUCUAAUACCGGAUACUGACCCUCGCGGGCAUCUGCGAGGUUCGAAAGCUCCGGCGGUGCAGGAUGAGCCCGCGGCCUAUCAGCUUGUUGGUGAGGUAACGGCUCACCAAGGCGACGACGGGUAGCCGGCCUGAGAGGGCGACCGGCCACACUGGGACUGAGACACGGCCCAGACUCCUACGGGAGGCAGCAGUGGGGAAUAUUGCACAAUGGGCGAAAGCCUGAUGCAGCGACGCCGCGUGAGGGAUGACGGCCUUCGGGUUGUAAACCUCUUUCAGCAGGGAAGAAGCGAAAGUGACGGUACCUGCAGAAGAAGCGCCGGCUAACUACGUGCCAGCAGCCGCGGUAAUACGUAGGGCGCGAGCGUUGUCCGGAAUUAUUGGGCGUAAAGAGCUCGUAGGCGGCUUGUCACGUCGGUUGUGAAAGC
rnacentral:rRNA from 1 species